UACGGGGGGGGCGAAGCGUUGUUCGGAAUUACUGGGCGUAAAGGGCUCGUAGGCGGCCAACUAAGUCGGAUGUGAAAUCCCCAAGCUUAACUUGGGAACUGCAUCCGAUACUGGAUGGCUUGAAUCCGGGAGAGGGAUGCAGAAUUCCAGGUGUAGCGGUGAAAUGCGUAGAUAUCUGGAGGAAUACCGGUGGCGAAGGCGGCAUCCUGGACCGGCAUUGACGCUGAGGAGCGAAAGCUAGGGGAGCAAACGGG
rnacentral:rRNA from 1 species